AUGCGCAUCGCUGGAGACCUCGGACUUGAGGGCGACUCUGGGAGCUCCGGACUGGAGGGCCGUCUCUGCUGGCUCCGGACUGGAGGGCCGUCUCUGCUGGCUCCGGACUGGAGGGCCGUCUCUGCUGGCUCCGGACUGGAGGGCCGUCUCUGCUCGCUCUGGACUGGAGGGCCGUCUCUGCUCGCUCCGGACUGGAGGGCCGUCUCUGCUGGCUCCGGACUGGAGGGCCGUCUCUGCUCGCUCCGGACUGGAGGGCCAUCUCUGCUCGCUCCGGACUGGAGGGCCGUCUCUGCUCGCUCCGGACUGGAGGGCCGUCUCUGCAGGCUCCGGACUGGAGUGCCGUCUCUGCUCGCUCCGGACUGGAGGGCCGUCUCUGCAGGCUCCGGACUGUGGGCCGUCUCUGCAGGCUCCGGACUGUGGGCCGUCUCUGCAGGCUCCGGACUGUGGGCCGUCUCUGCAGGCUCCGGACUGUGGGCCGUCUCUGCAGGCUCCGGACUGUGGGCCGUCUCUGCAGGCUUCGGACUGUGGGCCGUCUCUGCAGGCUCCGGACUGUGGGCCGUCUCUAGACGGGGUACUGUCGCCGGAAGCUCUGGAUGGGGCACUGUCACCGGAAGCUCUGGACGGGGAACUGUCGUCGGAAGCUCUGGACGGGGAACUGUCGUCGGAAGCUCUGGACGGGGAACUGUCGUCGGAAGCUCUGGACGGGGAACUGUCGUCGGAAGCUCUGGACGGGGAACUGUCGUCGGAAGCUCUGGACGGGGAACUGUCGUCGGUAGCUCUGGACGGGGAACUGUCGUCGGAAGCUCCGGACGGGGAACUGUCGUCGGAAGCUCUGGUGCGUGGGGCUGGUACUGGAGGUACCAGACUGGAGACACGCACCCCAAGGCUAGUGCGAGGAGCGGGAACUGGAUACACUGGGUCAUGAGUAGGCACCGACGGUCUGGAGCGCACCACCUACACAACCCGUCCUGGCUGGAUGGUAACAGUAGCUCUGCACGAGCGGAGUGCUGGCACAGGGCGAACUGGGCUGUGCAGAGGCCUGAUGGCUGCCGUGCGUAG
ensembl:lncRNA